ACACACAUCACCUGGGGAACUUAUUAAGAUCCAGAUUCUGAUUUUGUAGGUCUGGGUUAGGGCUCAGGGAUUCGAAUUUGAACAAGCUUCCAGGUGAUGCUAGU
rnacentral:pre_miRNA from 1 species